CAGGCGGGAUUACCCGCUGAUUUA
rnacentral:rRNA from 1 species